GCAGAAUCCCGCGAACCAUCGAGUCUUUGAACGCAAGUUGCGCCCGAGGCCAUCCGGCCGAGGGCACGCCUGCCUGGGCGUCACGCGAAAAGACGCUCCAAAACCCCCUCCCGGGGACGGAGGACGCGGCGUCUGGCUCCCCGUGCCGCAGGGCGCGGUGGGCCG
rnacentral:rRNA from 1 species